UACGUAGGGUCCGAGCGUUGUCCGGAAUCACUGGGCGUAAAGGGCGCGUAGGUGGUUUGAUAAGGGUGUGGUGAAAGUCCGGGGGCUCAACCCCCGGAUCUGCCGUGCCGACUGUCAAACUCGAGGGCUGUAGAGGCAGACGGAAUUCCGGGUGUAGCGGUGGAAUGCGUAGAGAUCCGGAGGAAGACCGGUGGCGAAGGCGGUCUGCUGGGCAGUUUCUGACACUGAUGCGCGACAGCGUGGGGGAGCAAACAGG
rnacentral:rRNA from 1 species